rnacentral:rRNA from 1 species
AUUGAACGCUGGCGGCAUGCUUUACACAUGCAAGUCGAACGGCAGCACGGGUGCUUGCACCUGGUGGCGAGUGGCGGACGGGUGAGUAAUACAUCGGAACGUAUCCUAAAGUGGGGGAUAACGCAUCGAAAGAUGUGCUAAUACCGCAUACACUCUGAGGAGGAAAGUAGGGGAUCGAAAGACCUUAUGCUUUUGGAGCGGCCGAUGUCUGAUUAGCUAGUUGGUAAGGUAAUGGCUUACCAAGGCAACGAUCAGUAGUUGGUCUGAGAGGACGACCAGCCACACUGGGACUGAGACACGGCCCAGACUCCUACGGGAGGCAGCAGUGGGGAAUUUUGGACAAUGGGCGCAAGCCUGAUCCAGCAAUGCCGCGUGAGUGAAGAAGGCCUCGGUUGUAAG